rnacentral:rRNA from 1 species
GACGAACGCUGGCGGCGUGCCUAAUACAUGCAAGUAGAACGCUGAAGGAGGAGCUUGCUUCUCUGGAUGAGUUGCGAACGGGUGAGUAACGCGUAGGUAACCUGCCUGGUAGCGGGGAUAACUAUUGGAAACGAUAGCUAAUACCGCAAAAUAGUAGAUGGUGCAUGACAUUUGCUUAAAAGGUGCAAUUGCAUCACUAACAGAUGGACCUGCGUUGUAUUAGCUAGUUGGUGGGGUAACGGCUCACCAAGGCGACGAUACAUAGCCGACCUGAGAGGGUGAUCGGCCACACUGGGACUGAGACACGGCCCAGACUCCUACGGGAGGCAGCAGUAGGGAAUCUUCGGCAAUGGACGGAAGUCUGACCGAGCAACGCCGCGUGAGUGAAGAAGGUUUUCGGAUCGUAAAGCUCUGUUGUAAGAGAAGAACGAGUGUGAGAGUGGAAAGUUCACACUGUGACGGUAUCUUACCAGAAAGGGACGGCUAACUACGUG